UGCAGUCGACGGCAGCGCGGGGCAACCUGGCGGCGAGUGGCGAACGGGUGAGUAAUAUAUCGGAACGUGCCCUGGAGUGGGGGAUAACGCAGCGAAAGUUGCGCUAAUACCGCAUACGAUCUAAGGAUGAAAGCGGGGGAUUCGCAAGAACCUCGUGCUCCUGGAGCGGCCGAUAUCUGAUUAGCUAGUUGGUGGGGUAAAGGCCUACCAAGGCAUCGAUCAGUAGCUGGUCUGAGAGGACGACCAGCCACACUGGAACUGAGACACGGUCCAGACUCCUACGGGAGGCAGCAGUGGGGAAUUUUGGACAAUGGGCGAAAGCCUGAUCCAGCAAUGCCGCGUGAGUGAAGAAGGCCUUCGGGUUGUAAAGCUCUUUUGUCAGGGAAGAAACGGUGAAGGCUAAUAUCCUUUGCUAAUGACGGUACCUGAAGAAUAAGCACCGGCUAACUACGUGCCAGCAGCCGCGGUAAUACGUAGGGUGCAAGCGUUAAUCGGAAUUACUGGGCGUAAAGCGUGCGCAGGCGGUUUUGUAAGUCUGUCGUGAAAUCCCCGGGCUCAACCUGGGAAUUGCGAUGGAGACUGCAAGGCUAGAAUCUGGCAGAGGGGGGUAGAAUUCCACGUGUAGCAGUGAAAUGCGUAGAGAUGUGGAGGAACACCGAUGGCGAAGGCAGCCCCCUGGGUCAAGAUUGACGCUCAUGCACGAAAGCGUGGGGAGCAAACAGGAUUAGAUACCCUGGUAGUCCACGCCCUAAACGAUGUCUACUAGUUGUCGGGUUUUAAUUAACUUGGUAACGCAGCUAACGCGUGAAGUAGACCGCCNGGGGAGUACGGUCGCAAGAUUAAAACUCAAAGGAAUUGACGGGGACCNGCACAAGCGGUGGAUGAUGUGGAUUNAUUUCGAUGCAACGCGAAAAA
rnacentral:rRNA from 1 species